GGGAAAGCGGGGGUGGCACGGGUCCUGGCUGUGCCUGUGUGUGUGUGACUGGACUGAGUGAACCCCCCGGCCCUGCUCUGCUCCGCCUGCCACAGGCAUGACCCACAUCACACUGGAGUCCCAGUGCACCCUGAGCACUUCUCGUCUAUCCGUCGCCAAGGAGGCAGGCAGGGACGCGGGAACAACAAGUCAUUUGUACCUGUAGAGGAGGACACUCCUGGGAAACAAACAGAUGAGCUUCUCCCCCUGAAUGCAAGCCUUUCUCUCAGGGUAAACAGAACUGCAUGAGAAACAUACAAACUAUCGGGAGGAUCGCACUUAACUCUUUCAGCGCCUGCCGUAGGGCCUGGAGGGGACAGAGAGAGAGAGCGAGGCAGAGGAGCGAUUAGCCACACCUGCUGGGGACUAGGGUGGGAGACAGACUGUACAGGAGGAGGACAACAUCCUGAUGUAGUCGAUGUGUGGGUGUGAUCCAUCUCUCCAUUGCCCAUAUGGGAUAAGAAGGAAGGGGAGGGGAAGAGCUGGCCUGCCUUGUGGUUCUUCAAGAGAAACAACACAAACACACAGCCAACCUCCUGGGACGUAUCCUGGUGGCCAGGGAACAGUUGGCCAGCAGAGGAUCCUGGGCUGGGGUGGGGGUGAGGCUGGGAGAUGUGUGUGGCUGCAGGGCAUAGGCAGUGCCUGGCACCACUCUGUCUGUCUGUCUGUCUGUCUGCUGGCCUUCUGCUCCUCCCCCCAACCUCCCUGUAGCUAGGACCAGGUUUUGGUUCUCACAACUUUAAAGGGUGGGGCCGAUCUCCACCCAGUAAUGCAACCCUUGGUUUGAGCCCUACCACCCUCGGUAUUGUUUGGCCAAUCCCCCAGGUAGCUGACACACUUUCCAGGCAGCAUCCGGAUGCUCCUCCUGCACACCUUACCGUCUCCUAUCUGUCAGCAGACUAAUUUAAUACUUCCCAGAAGACGGAUAGAACUUUUCCUGUCCUUCCAGUCAGUGGUUUGGGGUUUGAUUUCGGGUUGAAUUAAAUAGUGUAAAAUGAGUAACAAGUGCUCCAGGGGGACUGCUAGGCCAGCAGAGAGAAUGGGCAUUGUGGUGCUAAGAUAUCCUCCCAGUGUUGGAGUGGAGGGGUUAUGAGACGCUAAAUGUUGUGGUGCUAAGAUAUCCUCCCAGUGUUGGAGUGGAGGGGUUAUGAGACGCUAAAUGUUGUGGUGCUAAGAUAUCCUCCCAGUGUUGGAGUGGAGGGGUUAUGAAACGUUACACGUUGUGGUGCUAAGAUAUCCUCCCAGUGUUGGAGUGGAGGGGUUAUGAAACGCUACAGGUUCCCUGCCUGAGUAGUAGGUCACUGAGUAAUGUUGCCCAGAAUCAGAUAAUAUCACACCUCUUUGUCUGUUGCUAGUUAACCCCUACAUGACAAACCACUCACUUUAGGGAGUAGUAGGAAAGCACUUUGUUUUUACAUCAUAUAAACAGUGUCAAUAAUAAUAUUAAUUUCCCAUAUCAAUAAACCACUUACCUUUAAUGAUAUUAAAGACAUAUUUAGUGUACUUGUACUGUACUAUACAUUGAGUUACAAAACCAAUGACAAUCAAGCGGCUCAAAUAGGCAGACUACCAUGCCAUAGGUACUGAAACAAUACUAUUAACUCAAUGGUUCCUAUACGAGUCUGUUGCAAAGGGUUACUAGAACAAUUGCCUUUAAUCAUUAAACCAUAACCAUAGUUUCACCAUAUUUGGAUUAGCUUUUUAGUUAAAUUGGAACUACAUUUUAAUAUGCUCUGUGUAACGGUCCUGACCUGUUUUAUGUUGUUUUUGUAUGUGUUUAGGUCAGGGCAUGUGUUUUGGGUGGGCAGUCUAUGUUAUCUGUUUCUAUGUUGGUUGUGGUUGCCUGGUAUGGCUCUUAAUUAGAGGCAGGUGUUUUGCGUUCUCCUCUAAUUAAGAGUCAUAUUUAGGUAGGGUGUUCUCACUGUUUGUUUGUGGGUGAUUGUCUCCUGUGUCGAAUGUAUGUACCAUACGGGACUGUUUGGCUGUUCGUUUAUUUUGAUCUCGUCUGUUUCCUUCUCUGUGAGUUUACGUUUAGUUAUGUAAGUUUAUGUUCAGGUUUCGUCAACGUCGUUUUCUUGUUUUGUAUAUUUGAAAGUGUUUUGUUUCGUGUUGCCAUCGUCGUGUUAAAUAAAAAGAUGGCUUAUUUCCCGAA